GUGGGCGUAGCUCAGUAGGUUAGAGCACCUGGUUGUGGCCCAGGAGGCCGUGGGUUCGAGUCCCAUCGCCCACCCCA
rnacentral:tRNA from 1 species